rnacentral:misc_RNA from 1 species
GCCCUUUCCUUGAUGGCCAAACUAAAUUCUGAUGUGUUUUGCUGCAACUCUUGUAUUGAACCCUUUGCAUUCAAGAUAGUGGCAUCUUUAAGUUCCUUAGCUUGUGUACUUGCCUUCAAGGCCCACUCCUUCAAAAGUGAAAUUAAGAUGAGGAUGUUCUGUAUUAUCUUAUGAAUCACCUCUCUAGAUUUGCCUUUUACAUCAUCCGCCAUUAGCUUGAGUUUGUCCACCAAAUUUUCAGCCCCGCUAGCAGUUCCUUCAACAGAGAACUGCUUUGCAGCAGCAAGUGAUGCAACACCAGCAGAACUCUCUUCGCGGAGAUCACUGUCAACUACUACUUUGAUUCCGUGUCUCUCCCAAUGAUCUCUAGCUUCUUCAAUGGCUUUUGCAUGUUCUCUUGCUCUUUUUGCUUCAUCCUCAGCCCAAGCCCUGGCCAUGGACAAGGCUUU